rnacentral:rRNA from 1 species
AGAGUUUGAUCCUGGCUCAGGAUGAACGCUAGCGACAGGCUUAACACAUGCAAGUCGAGGGGCAGCACGGUGUAGCAAUACACUGGUGGCGACCGGCGCACGGGUGAGUAACACGUGUGCAACCAACCCCGUACCGGGAGAUAACCCGCGGAAACGUGGACUAACAUCCCAUGACACUCUAGAGCCGCAUGGCUCUAGAUUUAAAAUUCCGGUGGUACGGGACGGGCACGCGCGACAUUAGGUAGUUGGCGGGGUAAGGGCCCACCAAGCCGACGAUGUCUAGGGGUUCUGAGAGGAAGGUCCCCCACACUGGAACUGAGACACGGUCCAGACUCCUACGGGAGGCAGCAGUGAGGAAUAUUGGUCAAUGGGCGAGAGCCUGAACCAGCCAAGUCGCGUGAGGGACGAAUGGUCUAUGGCCUGUAAACCUCUUUUGCCAGGGAAGAAUAAAAGGUACGUGUACCUUCUUGCCAGUACCUGACGAAUAAGCAUCGGCUAACUCCGUGCCAGCAGCCGCGGUAAUACGGGGGAUGCGAGCGUUAUCCGGAUUUAUUGGGUUUAAAGGGCGCGUAGGCGGGACGUCAAGUCAGCGGUAAAAGACUGCAGCUAAACUGUAGCACGCCGUUGAAACUGGCGCCCUCGAGACGAGACGAGGGAGGCGGAACAAGUGAAGUAGCGGUGAAAUGCAUAGAUAUCACUUGGAACCCCGAUAGCGAAGGCAGCUUCCCAGGCUCGAUCUGACGCUGAUGCGCGAGAGCGUGGGUAGCGAACAGGAUUAGAUACCCUGGUAGUCCACGCCGUAAACGAUGCUCACUGGUUCUGUGCGAUAUAUUGUACGGGAUUAAGCGAAAGUAUUAAGUGAGCCACCUGGGGAGUACGUCGGCAACGAUGAAACUCAAAGGAAUUGACGGGGGCCCGCACAAGCGGAGGAACAUGUG